CAGAACUCUCAGCCCUCCACAGGAAAGGGCGAAUCCUCAGUCACAUAAGCACCAGCUAGGAAAGGAGUAGAGGAACCUACUUGUCUAAUCACAGUUAUUCAUCAUGUAGCUGGUUCCUCUUUAUUGCUGCUUCUUACAGAUGACCCAAUUAGCCUCCAACUACCCACUACAAAAACAUCUGAUUUUCAUAACUGCUUGACACACACAACUUUAUACCCAUUCAAACUCAAUUUAGGAAGAUAUAAGCAUAUAAUUCUUAUAAUUCUGCUCUAUCAUAUGUCCUAAGGUCCAAAAAUUUUAAAAUAAGUAGAAGGUAAAAAGUAAAUUAAUAAAAAAGCUAAAAAAGCAAACAAACAAACAAACAAACAAACAAACAAAUAAAUAAAUAAAUAAGACCAGCAAGAUAGCUUACUAGUUAAGGGUGCUUGCUGCCAAUACCAAACAAUUUGAAUUCAAUUCCUGGCACCCACAUAAUAGAAGGAAAGAACUGACUCCUGCAAGCUGCCCUCUGACCUCCCACACUUCUACACAUGCGCCCGCGCGCGCGCGCGCGCCCAUACACACACACACACACACACACACACACACACAAACUUUUCAUAUUUUUGUUGUUCAACAUAGAGGAAAGAACCUAGGUCUUCUCCCUUUUGAGCUAGGGGUGUAGUUCGAUGGCAGAGUGCUUGCUUCCCACAAAUCCUGGGUUUGACAGUUGCCCCCAGCAGAACCUCAACUCCAGAUACUAGGGAAUACCAGAAGUAUAUGAGAUGUGGUCUUGCUAAAACUAGCCAAAAUCAGAUGCUUUUUAAGGGCAGUCAGUUUAGGAACCAUAUACUUGUUAAAACAUCUCAAAUUGAACUGGACCAACAAAAUCCCAAUUCUGAAUACAAACUGGUCUUUUAUUAUUUUAUGUGUAUGAGUGUUUCUGCCUGUAUGUAUGCCUAUGUACUAUUACAUGUGUAUCUGGUGCCUCUGGGAAUCAAACCCAGGUCAGGUCCUCUGCAAGUGCAGCCAGUGCUCUUAACCAGAGUCAUCUUUCAGGGAUCCAAUUCCUUUUUUCUUCUCUCUCCUUCUUCCCUUCCUCUCCCACCUCCAGUCUCACACUGUGGACCAAUCCUUCCAGUGAUCUCCCUGCCUCAGUCUCUCAAGUAUUAGGAUUAUAGGUGUAAGAUAUACUAUGUCCAGCUUACAAACUACUUCAAUUUAAAAUAGACAUUUACUAAAUUUGACAAAUGUUCCAAGGUUUAAACAAUGUCAACAGUAGCUCCUAACUUAAAGUAUGCAAAGACUGCUACAUCUAAUUUGUGAACACAGCUUAAUUUUCCAAGUUCAUACUUCUGUAUAGCCCUGCCUGUCCUGGAACUCAAUCUGUAGACUAGACUGCCCUCCAAUUCUGCCUCCCAAGUGCUGGGAUUAAAGACCUGUGUCAUCACCACUCAGCCCAAGUUCAUACUUUUACACCACCCAAAAUGACAAUUACUGACCAAUAAGGCAAAAACAAAACAAACAAAAAACUCAUUUUAUAAAAAUUAAAUUACAUUAAGGAGCCUAUCUGAGCUUGGUGGCACAUACUUUUAGUUCCAGCACUCUGGAAGCAGAGACAGGAGAAUCUCUUGUGAGUUUGGAGCCAGCCUGGUCUAUAUAGUGAAUUUCAGGACAGCCAGAACUACAGAAAGACCCUAUCUCCAGAAAAAAACGAAAAACAAAACAAACACCACCUAGUUUUUCAGUCACACAACACAUUUCAAAUGAUCAACAGCUCAUUUCCUCUAUUACUGAAUUUUUUUUUUUUAGAUAGUGUUUCAAAUUCACUAUUUAGACCAGGUCUGCCUCUGCUUCUUGGGUGCUGGUAUUAAAGGUAUGUACCACCACAUGCAGCUAAAAGUUCCACGGAGCAGGAUAUAAAAUAGAAAGGACUGCUUGGUGGCAGAGCACUGUCCAACACAGGACAGAUCCUGAGUUCCAUCCCCAGGACUGCUGACUUUGAAAGAAAGCCAGUACACAGGAGAACAUAAAUUAGAAACUCAAGAAGGAGUGACUCAAAGGAUGAAGCACUAGGUACCUUGAGCAGAGCAGUAUCUGCCAAAACUCAUGUCUACCUGGAACUAUGACCUUAUUUGGAAAGAGGUCUUUUUCAGGUACAAUCAGGCACACUAAAAUGAGAUCACACAAUUGGAGUGGGCUUUAACCAAAUGACCAUGUCGUUCCCCCCCCCAGCUCAAAUCAUCUUACCUCCAAGAUCAAAUCUACUCAGGUGAGGGGUGGUCGAAAAUCCAGG
ensembl:lncRNA